UGACAGGACAGUGUCUACGAGAAGCUUCC
rnacentral:piRNA from 1 species